UUUCCAUUGCACAUCGGCUUAGCUGACCCUUGCGAUUAUGUGGGUAACUCGGUCGUAUAAUUUCUGGUAGUGGGGACUGCGUUCGCGCUAUCCCCGU
rnacentral:snRNA from 10 species